rnacentral:rRNA from 1 species
CGUACAGCCGGGGCGAGACGGGAGAGUAACACGUGGGUAACCUGCCCAUAAGACUGGGAUAACUCCGGGAAACCGGGUCUAAUACCGGAUAACAUUUUGAACCGCAUGGUUCGAAAUUGAGAGGCGGCUUCGUCUGUCACUUAUGGAUGGACCCGCGUCGCAUUAGCUAUUUGGAGAGGUAACGGCUCCCCAGGGCAACGAUGCGUACCCGACCUGAGAGGGUGAUCGGCCACACUGGGACUGAGACACGGCCCAGACUCCUACGGGAGGCAGCAGUAGGGAAUCUUCCGCAGUGGACGAGAGUCUGACGGAGCAACGCCGCGAGAGUGAUGAAGGCUUUCGGGUCGUAAAACUCUGGUGUUAGGGAAAAACAAGUGCUAGUUGAAUAAGGUGGCACCUUGACGGCACCUAACCAAAAAGCCGCGGCUAACUACGUGCCAGCCGCCGCGGUAAUACGGAGGUGGCAAGCGUUAUCCGGAAUUAUGGGGCGUAAAGCGCGCGCAGGUGGUUUCUUAAGUCUGAUGUGAACCCCCACGGCUCCACCGUGGAGGGUCGUUGGAAGCUGGGACACUUGGGUGCAGAAGAGAAAAGUGUUAUUCCAUGAGUAGCGAAAAAAUGCGAAAAGAUAUGGAGGAACACCAGUGGCGAAGGCGAUUUUCUGUUCUGUAGCUGACACUGAGGCACGAAAGCGUGGGGAACAACAGGAUUAAUCCCCUGGUAGCCCCGCCGAAACGAUGAGUGCUAGUGUAGAGGUUUCCGCCCCUUAGUGCUGAUGUACACGCAUUAAGCACUCCGCUGGGGAGGACGGCGCAGUGAUGAAAACUAGAAGGGAUCGACGGGGGCCGCACAGCGGUGGAAGCUUGGUGUUAUACUACGAGCAACGCAAAAAACUCAUAACGAGUCUAGACCUCUCUGACUCCUAGAGAAGGCUCUUCUCUCUUCGGGGAAGAAAGAAGUACAGGGGGUGG